UACGUAGGGGGCAAGCGUUGUCCGGAUUUAUUGGGCGUAAAGAGCGUGUAGGCGGCCAUACAGGUCAGCUGUGAAAACUCGAGGCUCAACUCUGGAAUUGCCUUUGAGACUGAGUGGCUUGAGUACGAGAGAGGUGAGUGGAAUUCCCAGUGUAGAGGUGAAAUUCGUAGAUAUUGGGGAAGAACACCGGUGGCGAAGGCGGCUCACUGGCUCGUAACUGACGCUCAUGCACGACAGCCGUGGGGAGCAAACAGG
rnacentral:rRNA from 1 species